rnacentral:rRNA from 1 species
AGAGUUUGAUCCUGGCUCAGAACGUACGCUGGCGGCACGCCUAAUACAUGCAAGUCGAACGAAGUAGCAAUACUUAGUGGCAGACGGGUGAGUAACAUGUAGGUAUCUACCCUUUGGCCUGGAAUAACACGGGGAAACUUGUGCUAAUACUGGAUAAGCCUUUACAGGGAAAGCUUUAGCGCCGAAAGAUGAGCCUGCACUUGAUUAGCUAGUUGGUAAGGUAAUGGCUUACCAAGGCUACGAUCAAUAGCUGAUCUGAGAGGAUGAUCAGCCACAUUGGGACUGAGACACGGCCCAAACUCCUACGGGAGGCAGCAGUGGGGAAUCUUGCACAAUGGGGGAAACCCUGAUGCAGCGAUGCCGCGUGAGUGAAGAAGGCCUUUGGGUUGUAAAGCUCUUUCGUCGGGGAAGAAAAUGACUGUACCCGAAUAAGAAGGUCCGGCUAACUUCGUGCCAGCAGCCGCGGUAAUACGAAGGGACCUAGCGUAGUUCGGAAUUACUGGGCUUAAAGAGCUCGUAGGUGGUUAGAAAAGUUGAUGGUGAAAUCCCAAGGCUUAACCUUGGAACUGCCAUCAAAACUUUUUAACUAGAGUAUGAUAGAGGAAAGUGGAAUUUCUAGUGUAGAGGUGAAAUUCGUAGAUAUUAGAAAGAACACCAAUUGCGAAGGCAACUUUCUGGAUCAUUACUGACACUGAGGAGCGAAAGCAUGGGUAGCGAAGAGGAUUAGAUACCCUCGUAGUCCAUGCCGUAAACGAUGUGUGCUAGACGUUGGAAAUUUAUUUUUCAGUGUCGCAGCAAAAGCGUUAAGCACACCGCCUGGGGAGUACGACCGCAAGGUUAAAACUCAAAUGAAUUGACGGGGACCCGCACAAGUAGUGGAGCAUGUGGUUUAAUUCGAAGAUACGCGCAGAACCUUACCAACACUUGACAUGUUCGUCGCGACUCUAAGAGAUUAGAGUCUUCGGUUCGGCCGGACGAAACACAGGUGCUGCAUGGCUGUCGUCAGCUCGUGUCGUGAGAUGUUGGGUUAAGUCCCGCAACGAGCGCAACCCCUAUUUUUAGUUGCUACCAUUUAGUUGGGCACUCUAAAAAAACUGCCAGUGAUAAGCUGGAGGAAGGUGGGGAUGACGUCAAGUCCUCAUGGCCCUUACGUGUUGGGCUACACACGUGCUACAAUGGCAUUUACAGUGAGAAGCGAAGAGGUGACUCUAAGCCAAUCCCUAAAAAAUGCCUCAGUUCGGAUUGUACUCUGCAACUCGAGUACAUGAAGCUGGAAUUACUAGUAAUCGCGGAUCAGCGCGCCGCGGUGAAUACGUUCCCGGGUCUUGUACACACCGCCCGUCACACCAUGGAAGUUGGUUACACCUUAAGGCAAAGCUUAAAACCUUUGACUACGGUACGAUCAGCGACUGGGGUGAAGUCGUAACAAGGUAACC